rnacentral:rRNA from 1 species
UAAGGGCGCACGGUGGAUGCCUUGGCACUAGAAGCCGAUGAAGGACGUUACUAACGACGAUAUGCUUUGGGGAGCUGUAAGUAAGCUUUGAUCCAGAGAUUUCCGAAUGGGGAAACCCAGCAUGAGUUAUGUCAUGUUAUCGAUAUGUGAAUACAUAGCAUAUCAGAAGGCACACCCGGAGAACUGAAACAUCUUAGUACCCGGAGGAAGAGAAAGAAAAUU